ACUAACUGAACAUAUCUCUCAGCUUCUCACCUGGCAGUGGGUGAAAUAUAGUGCCUAGAGUCCCCAGGAGGUUCAGUUCUACCUCUUCUGUCUCGACAUGGGUGGAUGAGAUCCAGGCCCCAGUGAGG